UCUACGGGAGGCAGCAGUGGGGAAUCUUCCGCAAUGGACGAAAGCCUGACGGAGCAACGCCGCGUGAGUGAUGACGGCCUUCGGGUUGUAAAGCUCUGUGAUCGGGGACGAAUGGCUGGUAUGCUAAUACCAUAUCAGAGUGACGGUACCCGAAUAGCAAGCCACGGCUAACUACGUGCCAGCAGCCGCGGUAAUA
rnacentral:rRNA from 1 species